GGGGAUAUAGCUUAGCUGGUAGAGUGCCUGCCUUGCAUGUACAAGGCCCUGGGUUCAACCCCCAGUACUACAA
rnacentral:tRNA from 1 species